rnacentral:rRNA from 1 species
UAGAGUUUGAUCCUGGCUCAGAUUGAACGCUGGCGGUAUGCUUUACACAUGCAAGUCGAACGGAUUAAGAAGCUUGCUUCUUAGUUAGUGGCGAACGGGUGAGUAAUAUAUCGGAACAUAUCCGGAAGUGGGGGAUAACGUAGCGAAAGUUACGCUAAUACCGCAUAUGCCCUGAGGGGGAAAGGGGGGGAUCGCAAGACCUCUCGCUUUCGGAGUGGCCGAUAUCGGAUUAGCUAGUAGGUGAGGUAAAGGCUCACCUAGGCGACGAUCCGUAGCUGGUCUGAGAGGACGACCCGCCACACUGGAACUGAGACACGGUCCAGACUCCUACGGGAGGCAGCAGUGGGGAAUUUUGGACAAUGGGCGAAAGCCUGAUCCAGCCAUACCGCGUGAGUGAAGAAGGCCUUCGGGUUGUAAAGCACUUUUGUCCGGGAAGAAAUCCCCUGCCCUAAUACGGCGGGGGGAUGACGGUACCGGAAGAAUAAGCACCGGCUAACUACGUGCCAGCAGCCGCGGUA